rnacentral:rRNA from 1 species
UACGUAGGGGGCAAGCGUUGUCCGGAAUCAUUGGGCGUAAAGAGCGUGUAGGCGGCUCGAUAAGUCUGCUGUGAAAGUCCAGGGCUCAACCCUGGAAGGCCGGUGGAAACUGUCGGGCUAGAGUCCGGAAGAGGCGAGUGGAAUUCCCGGUGUAGCGGUGAAAUGCGCAGAUAUCGGGUGGAACACCAAUGGCGAAGGCAGCUCGCUGGGACGGUACUGACGCUGAGACGCGAAAGCGUGGGGAGCAAACAGG